rnacentral:rRNA from 1 species
GAUGAACGCUGGCGGCGUGCCUAAUACAUGCAAGUCGAGCGAACAGAUAAGGAGCUUGCUCCUUUGACGUUAGCGGCGGACGGGUGAGUAACACGUGGGUAACCUACCUAUAAGACUGGGAUAACUUCGGGAAACCGGAGCUAAUACCGGAUAAUAUUUCGAACCGCAUGGUUCGAUAGUGAAAGAUGGUUUUGCUAUCACUUAUAGAUGGACCCGCGCCGUAUUAGCUAGUUGGUAAGGUAACGGCUUACCAAGGCGACGAUACGUAGCCGACCUGAGAGGGUGAUCGGCCACACUGGAACUGAGACACGGUCCAGACUCCUACGGGAGGCAGCAGUAGGGAAUCUUCCGCAAUGGGCGAACGCCUGACGGAGCAACGCCGCGUGAGUGAUGAAGGUCUUCGGAUCGUAAAACUCUGUUAUUAGGGAAGAACAUACGUGUAAGUAACUGUGCACGUCUUGACGGUACCUAAUCAGAAAGCCACGGCUAACUACGUG